CCCUGUAGGGCAGAUGAAGCCACCUACACACCACCUCCCAGCCUUUGCCCUGACCGUUCCUUUGCCUUGAAUGGCAAUCUCUUCUCUGCCUCUGCAAAUUAUAACCUGCCGAGGAAACAUCCCGCUCCUUCUGGGCUCUUGCAGACCUCACGAACCAGCUAUCUCUGCCGUGGGAAGAUGCUCUCUGGACCGCCUGACAUUGCCACUAAUGACCGAGGACCCCAGCUGGAUCUGAAAUAUCCAUCUCCUCUCACCCCUCAGAGCCACCGCAAGCUUGGACUGUGACCUGCUGGGUUCCAGAGAGGGCAAGUCUUCCUCCAGUAGAAGUCCGUGGCUCCAUGUCAGUGGUUCUAAGAGGCUUCUUCCAAAGGCUACAUUUCUUCUCAUAACUAUCCCAGUGCGGGCUCUCUAGGCCUGCCUAUUAUAUAUAAAUACACUUAACUUUUAUGGGGGUAUGCAGUGCUCUCGGCAUAAACCAUCUCCUCUGUCCCAAAGGACUAGGGGAAGGGCUGGAACAUGGAGCAUGUGCACAUGUGACAACACCAGGACAGAUUCUGAGACCCAGAUGAUUGGAACCUACACCACAAGGUAUCACCCUAGAGACAUAAAACAUCACUGAAGUCUUUCAAUCUCCCCCCACUGCAUGUGUGCAAUUUGGGCGUGAUCCUCCCAGCAUGGAUCAGCGCAUCCCAUCUCUCUCAUCCUCCUCUGCCACCACUGUGCUUAUUAGACCACUGGGGAGGCCUCCUGGCUCCCGGUCCUGCUUCUGUUCUGGCACCUCCUUCACUCUGUGCUGCACACAAGCUGCGCGGGUGAUAUGGUACAGCAGAACCCCACUGGUCACGGCCUUGCCCCAAAGGCUCCUGAGGCCCUUAGAGCUGCUCUUACAGCCAGCCCAGCAGGGCCCUCCUAGGCGUCUGACUCUCUCUUUCAACCUUAAUGGGUAACUUGAUCUCAGUCAUCAAUGGUUAGAUGCAUGUAUUUUGUUUCUGGUUUGCAGAUGAAGUAGCAACUGAAGCCAUCAGUUCAUUCAUUCAUUGAUUCAUUCAGUCAACAAAUAUUCAUUGAGGGCCCACUAUGCAUCAGGCUGUGUCCCCGAUGUUCAGGGGACAGUGGUCAGCAAGACAAAGUCCCUGGCCUGGGCCAGUUGCCAGGCCGUAGGGACGUGCAGAAGCACAGCAGCCGGGCCUCAAGAGGGCCCGAGCUUGCUUUAAGGCUCUGCUGUGGCUGUCUGGAAACUCUUAACUGUUUUUAGACAAGGACCCUGAUUUUCAUCCUGCGCUGGGUCCCACAGAUUGUAUAGCUGCUCUGUCCCUGCCCUCAGGGAGCUCACAUUCCACUGGGAGACAACGGACACUCAGUGAAUCUUAAACAUCAAGCCGCAGAGGAGAAGUGCUGUGAAGAAAGUGAACCAAGGUGGUAUGUGCCAACCAGUGAGGGUGGCCUGGCCAAGGCUGUCAGGGAAGGCUUCCCUGAGCGGGUGCCUAGAGGGAGCCAGGCAGCCAGGCAGUGGUGGGAGGUGGGUGGGGAGAACCUUCCAGGCAGGAGGAGAAGAGCAAGGGCUGAGUCCCUAGGGCAGGAGGGUGUUUGCUAAGCUGAAGGGACAGGGAGGAGUCAGUGUGGCUGCAGCUUGGAGAGUGAGUGAGAAGGCACUGACCUAAGCAAAGCAGGGGGCCAUUCAGUGCAGCUUGAGGGGAGGAUCCAGAACCCCUACCCACCAGCUCAUGGUCUGACCUUGCCCAGAUUCACUGCAAGGCCUGAGGCUGGUCCUGAAACCCAGAUCCUCCCCAGCGGGAUCUCUGCAAUGAGAAGGGCUGGCUGGACAAUGUUCACCAUCCCUUCCAGCUGCAGCCAAGUUGGGACAGCCCUGGGGGGUUUCUCUUGUCCACAUGCUAUGGAUACAAUGCUGGGGUGGAGGGGGCAGCCACCAUAUCUUCCCAUGCUGGGGUUGAGGGGUUCCCAGCUCCCCAGCACAGCCCUCAGCUUUCAGGGAGCUUGUCUACUCUUUCUGAGAAUCUGCUACCACUUUUUGCAGACCCCAAAUGUGAGUUCCAGCCACAUCAUUCCCCCCACUUCUCUCAUUCAAGAACCAUGUUCCUGAUACUGCCUUAUCCUUACACUAUUGUGCUGUUAUUUACUUCAGGGUCAGGAAUCGGAUUAGGACUUUUUCUUAAAUGAUCUUAUUUUAAAGGGAAACAUUGUACCAUUGCUAUGUAAUACUUGCCAUAAAUACAAAGUAACCAUGAAAUAAACAUUCUGCAAUAUCCAUGUUAUCAAAUUCUAGCUAGAUAGCAUCCUAGCCUCAGGCGUGCUCUGUCUUUGUUUAAAAUGGAAAUUUGCAAGUGCUAGAAAUGGCUUAAAGGAGUUAAGGACUCUAGAAGCAAACAGAGACUUUCUCCUAAAUAAGAAGAAAGUCUGAGAGAGAAUGAAAAAAGGACCAUUUCACCCCGUGACUCAAUUUUGUUUAACAUCAUGUAUGAGUAUAUCUUAAAAUUAUCUUCCUAACAAAACCAAACAAAACCUAAACCCAAACAAAAUGAAACAAAGCCCAAGCCUGUCUGACUUAAGGAAAGACAAGAGGCUGUAAAGAAGUGAACAGGGAGCUCACCGAGACUCCGAGACUCCCGGAGGGCCAGAGACUCAGGGGUGGGGCUCAAAGCAUCUUGCAGAACUGGCCCAGGGAAGGUUCCUGGAAGCUCGUGCUGGGCACAGGUGUCACCACCACCAUCAGGACUGCUCACCAGCCUCUGACAGCAGAACUGCUGCCAUUGCCACCACCCCUAGAAACAGAAUGUAGCUGCUGCAACCCCUCACUACAAGUGUGCUCCCAACUUCUUUUUUUUUUUUUUUUUUUUUUUUUGAGACAAUUGUCUUGAUUUGUAGCCCAGGCUGGAGUGCAGUGAUGUAAUCAUGGCUCACUGCAGCCUGGAUCUCCUGUGCUCAAUGAAUCCUCCCACCUCAGCUUCCCAAGUAGCUGGGACUACAGGCGUGAGCCAUCACUUGGGCUAAUCGUUGUGUUUUCUAUAGAGACAGGGUUUUGCCAUGUUGCCCAGGCUCCACCUUCUUUAUGUUACUAGCUUCUAAUUCAAAAUCUGAGUGCUUCAUCUGAUUGGCAGGACUGGGAUCAUGUGACUGUCCUCUAGCUGCAAAGCUGGCUGGGAAAACGAGUGACAUUUUCAGCUUCUAUCAUGAGAGUGACUUCGUUCUAGGCAGUGUUGGGAACGUCCCUGUGUCUGGCAUCCGUUACUCAGUCCAUCCUGAAGUCAGGAAGAGCUAAUGGUGUUUGCUAGGGGCACAGAGGUUCAGAAUGAAAACCAGGAGGAAACAGAGGGAUUCAUGUCCCCCAUAAAGGCGACCUCUGACUGUUACCCCUCAGAGUCUUGGAUCCUACAUCUGUAAAAUGGGAGUGAUGAGACGUUCCUCGUGGCACAGAGCUGAAGAGCAGGUCCCAAGUCCUUCUUCUGUGCUAAGGACUGCAACAUGUGUGGGAUGCAGAGAUGCAUUUAAUAAACAUUUAUUGAGCAUGUACUAUGUGCUGGGCACUGUUUAAAGCUGUGGGAAUAUAUUCAUGAAUUAAAAACCGGGCCAAAAUACCCAUCCACUCUAGUAUAAAGAAAAUAGAGUUGCUGUCCUCGAGGAGUUUAGAAACAGAGAUGGGUAAACGAAUCAUAGCAUAAGGUGUCACAGGUGCAAGGAGCAGAGAAGGAAAAAGGCAACAGGCAUGGGGAUAGGUGGGCGGGGUUUCAAGAGAAGCGUCAUAAAGGAGGUCACAUCUAAGCUGAAGUGAGGGGCUGUCAAAUCCUCACCUGCACUAUACACAGAGAUGCUUGGGAAAGAUGCUGGGCUUUGGCUAAUAGUGGAAUUCUCAACUCAUAAAAGGGAAGUUUCAAAGUUGGGGACUUGUGCUGCCAUAACAGAUGAAUUUCUGUGUUAACUUGAGGAGAUAAUAAAAAUUUUAAUUAAACAUCUGCUGGGUUACAAAAGGCAGCCUCAUGAAAAAG
rnacentral:lncRNA from 1 species